GGCGUGCUUAACACAUGCAAGUCGAACGAGAAUCUGCGGAACGAGGAUUCGUCCAAGUGAAGCGGAGGACAGUGGCGGACGGGUGAGUAACGCGUGAGGAACCUGCCUUUCAGAGGGGGACAACAGUUGGAAACGACUGCUAAUACCGCAUGACACAUAGAUGUCGCAUGGCAUUUAUGUCAAAGAUUUAUCGCUGAAAGAUGGCCUCGCGUCUGAUUAGCUAGUUGGUGAGGUAACGGCCCACCAAGGCGACGAUCAGUAGCCGGACUGAGAGGUUGAACGGCCACAUUGGGACUGAGAUACGGCCCAGACUCCUACGGGAGGCAGCAGUGGGGAAUAUUGGGCAAUGGGCGCAAGCCUGACCCAGCAACGCCGCGUGAAGGAAGGAGGCUUUCGGGUUGUAAACCUCUUUUGUCAGGGACGAGUAGAAGACGGUACCUGACGAAUAAGCCACGGCUAACUACGUGCCAGCAGCCGCGGUAAUACGUAGGUGGCAAGCGUUGUCCGGAUUUACUGGGUGUAAAGGGCGUGUAGCCGGGAGGGCAAGUCAGAUGUGAAAUCCACGGGCUCAACUCGUGAACUGCAUUUGAAACUACUCUUCUUGAGUAUCGGAGAGGCAAUCGGAAUUCCUAGUGUAGCGGUGAAAUGCGUAGAUAUUAGGAGGAACACCAGUGGCGAAGGCGGAUUGCUGGACGACAACUGACGGUGAGGCGCGAAAGCGUGGGGAGCAAACAAGAUUAGAUACCCUGGUAGUCCACGCUGUAAAC
rnacentral:rRNA from 1 species